CUUGAACAUUAUACACGUCUUAAAGCUCACAGUUUGCCAAAAGAAAACAGUCAUGUUGUGUGUCCAGAUAUAGGGCGAUUCCACAGUUCAGUUCAGUUUUGAGCUUCGAAGCUCUAGUAGAAAUCAAAUCGAAUAUUCGAAGCUUCGGAAGGAGGGGCUGAACAUAUUUUUCUCUUUCAUAAAGGCAGGAAUCUGUGUGUCUGUCUGUCUACAGUUUUAUUAUGUGGCGGAUGUGUUGCUGCGGACCCAAGGGAGUGUAGUGCCUUUAUUUCGUGCAAUAUGGACAUCUGACACGUUUGGAAUUAAUAAGCUUUUAAUAAACUACAGAACAGCGCAAGCCGGAAGCGGCCUGCCAGUCACGUGUCCUGCGAGAACAGCAUUAGUGAAACAAAACACAAGAGCAAUACUUUUUAAGGUAGCCUAACAUUUUUCUAACAAACAAACAUUCCCUUAUCAGAAAUUAGCAGCACAGUAAUUACUGACAUCGUAAAGGGUAGGCUAUUUAAAUAAAACAACGAAAAAAUAUAUGAACGAAGUUCAACAAACUGUAAUAAAACGGUAGCAUACUUUCAAAAUCAAGUUUAUUUACUAACACUUACAUCAUCCAAUAUUUUUUUUUAUCAGUAGAACAAUAAAGAAGAUAUUUUGCAGAAACCCCAGUGCUCCGUCAUGCAAGUCAACCGAUCUGCCACUUUAUGAGCUAAAGCAUAUACAUCCAAUACAAAAGUAAUCGCCCAUAACUCCGUGUGACAUAUUGACGUCUUGUGAAGCAAAUCAAUCAGUUUUUACAAGAAACUGAACGUUAUUUACAACACUAUUAGCGUGAAUGCCAAAGCAGGAAGCGCGCUUUACGUUCGAGGCCAUCUCUUCUACUGGUGGCGUUUGGAGGCUGUUGGCUAUGGAUGUUGGUCUCUCUGCGCCACCUAUAGAGAGGGAGCGAGAAGCGCACUUUCUUCUUGGCAAAAGCUCUGCAUUAACGCUGUAAAAAAUAUUUAUAUAUAUAUAUAUAUUCGAAUCUCAAAACUGAAAAUUAAAUGUCAACACACAGAACGAAUAUUCAAAUAUUCUGGUCCAUCCCUAAAAUUAUCAGCAUGCACUUCACAAACUCACCGGGGACAACAACUAUACCAGCUAUUUUAUCCCAUGCCUCGUUCUUUUGUAACUGGUCCCUAUAUGAAAAUAAAGUCAUGUCAUAUAAAUGAUAGGAAACCCAGCAACAGCGAUUAUCAAUUUCUCCUCCUUUUUUUUGGAAAUAAUGUUUUGGUAGGAACGAAAGUUUACAUCUCACGUUUCUCCGGAAUCAGCCAGCGAAGAGCGUCUAGGCUAUAUUCCGAUUGGAUGCUGGCGUUUUGCCGCUGAACCGCUCAUUAUAAUUUUUUAUGUGUUUUUUGUUGUAUGAAAUGUAUGUCUAUUUUGGAAGUUGUUAAUUUUGAUGUACUGUUAGGUAAAGCGACCUUGAGCUUUGGAAAGGCGCUAUAUAAAUAAAACUUCUUCUUCUU